GAUGAACGCUGGCGGCGUGCUUAACACAUGCAAGUCGAACGAUGAAGCCCAGCUUGCUGGGUGGAUUAGUGGAGAACGGGUGAGUAACACGUGAGUAACCUGCCCUUAACUCUGGGAUAAGCCGGGGAAACUGGGUCUAAUACCGGAUAGGAGCGUCCACCGCAGGGUGGGUGUUGGAAAGAUUUAUCGGUUUUGGAUGGACUCGCGGCCUAUCAGCUUGUUGGUGAGGUAAUGGCUCACCAAGGCGACGACGGGUAGCCGGCCUGAGAGGGUGACCGGCCACACUGGGACUGAGAGACGGCCCAGACGCCUACGGGAGGCAACAGUGGGGAAUAUUGCACAAUGGGCGAGAGCCUGAUGCAGCGACGCCGCGUGAGGGAUGACCGCCUUCGGGUUGUAAACCUCUUUCAGUAGGGAAGAAGCGAAAGUGACGGUACCUGCAGAAGAAGCACCGGCUAACUACGUG
rnacentral:rRNA from 1 species